UCUUGAAUAAUAAAUUCUCCUUCGUAGAAUCAUAUUGAUUUUUGGGUAGCCAAUUCUUGAUAUCACAGCGUUGCAAGGAGAAGACCGAGAGAGCUGUGAUUUAAUUCUUCAUGUCAUUCUCUUCUUCCCAAAGGGUGAGCUUGUGUACGUUGGUUGCAGUUGGAAAAGGAAGUGAUUGAGGAGUAAGCUUGUGAGAUUGAGCGACGACGGGCGUGGAGGAUGUUGAGCAGAAUUCAUGGAUUAUUUAUGUUUGGCUUAAUAUUGUUGGAUAUGUCGUGUCUUCAUACUCGGCAUUUUCCGUGUCUUGAACGCUUCCGCUAGGUGUCUUUUCUUUAAAAUUGUUUUAGUAUUGAGAACCUAACUCUUUUCAAUAUUGUUUACAUUCUAGUCUUUAUUUCUUAGAAUUUGUACUUUGUUGAAAUGAUACUAUGUUGUUUUCUAAGUUACUUCAAUUUUUUAAAUAU